rnacentral:rRNA from 1 species
UACGGAGGGGGCAAGCGUUGUUCGGAAUCAUUGGGCGUAAAGGGCGCGUAGGCGGCCAGCCAAGUCGGGUGUGAAAUCCCUCGGCUCAACCGAGGAACUGCAUUCGAUACUGGCAGGCUAGAGUCCGGGAGGGGAUGGCGGAAUUCCCAGUGUAGCGGUGAAAUGCGUAGAUAUUGGGAAGAACACCGGUGGCGAAGGCGGCCAUCUGGACCGGAACUGACGCUGAGGCGCGAAAGCCAGGGGAGCGAAUGGG